rnacentral:rRNA from 1 species
UACAGAGGUCUCAAGCGUUGUUCGGAUUCAUUGGGCGUAAAGGGUGCGUAGGCGGCGCGGUAAGUCGGGUGUGAAAUCGUCGGGGCUUAACUCCGAAACUGCAUUCGAUACUGCCGUGCUUGAGGACUGGAGAGGAGACUGGAAUUUACGGUGUAGCGGUGAAAUGCGUAGAUAUCGUAAGGAAGACCAGUGGCGAAGGCGGGUCUCUGGACGAGU